rnacentral:rRNA from 1 species
GAAGGGACCUAGCGUAGUUCGGAAUUACUGGGCUUAAAGAGUUCGUAGGUGGUUGAAAAAGUUGGUGGUGAAAUCCCAGAGCUUAACUCUGGAACUGCCAUCAAAACUUUUCAGCUAGAGUAUGAUAGAGGAAAGCAGAAUUUCUAGUGUAGAGGUGAAAUUCGUAGAUAUUAGAAAGAAUACCAAUUGCGAAGGCAGAUUUCUGGAUCAUUACUGACACUGAGGAACGAAAGCAUGGGUAGCGAAGAGGAUUAGAUACCCUCGUAGUCCAUGCCGUAAACGAUGUGUGUUAGACGUUGGGAAUUUAUUUUCAGUGUCGCAGGGAAA